ACCAUGUCUAGCUGGGUUGGGGGCUGGAAACAGUGAACUUAGUGAGGCACACCUAUAGCUUUGGCCACCCCACCCUGGGCACCCCAUGCGUCUCUGCUCUGUUUGGCAGCUGCUACUGACAAGCUUCCUUUCCUUUUGAGUCAGCUCUUUCAGGAAGCGCGGGUUCUUUGCUCUUCGUUGGAUGGAGAGGUGGGGUUUGCACGUAGAGUUCCGCCCCCUUCAGUCUUUUUCUACCUUUCAUUUUUGUUCUUAGGAAUCAUGUACACAGGCAGCAAGUUCACACGAUCACACGACUCUCUCCUAAAACAACCUGGUUGCUGUCCGCAGGGAGACAGGGGCCGUGUAGACUUAAGUAAGUGCAGUGGAUGUUUACUCUGCAGCACUGACCUGUAGGCAUCUCUAGAGUAAGAAACCUGUGCACUGUACGCCCGAGUGACAGAAUCUGUCUGUCACCUUCCUCCUUUACACCUAGGUCCCUCCCCAAGGUGACAUUGUGCAUCCAUCCCUCCUUCCAUUGGUUGUCCAUCACCUGACAGUAAAUAUGUGGCUGCUGGAAAGAAUUUCUGCAUGGAAGCAAGCCUUCCAUCCUUUUUGUUUUUCAUGGAAUAGCAUAUACUUCUUUCUUUCCCCCUCACAUUACCUAAUUUGUCAAUUUCUGACACUUUUGAACUAUUACCACUACUCUCCCUACCCCCUACCCCCACACCUACUGCAGCAUUUAGGUUGGAAAAUUUCCUUAUAAUGGUGUUGCUAAAUACUGUAUAAAACUGAAGCUGGAUAAUUUUAUCUGAAUUUUCUUAUAGAGGAUUAGGGAGCAAACCCCAGCAAUUCUCAUUUAUUUAUUUAUUUAUUUACUUACUUACUUACAUACAUACGUAUUCUCACUGUAGUCUCACCUGACUGGCCUGGAACUUGCUAUAUAGACCAGACCCAGGUUUUACAGAGAUCUGCCUGCCUCUGCUGGUGUGCUGGGACUAAAGGCAUACAUUUCAUACCCUGGCUUUAUAUUUUUGAAUUUAAAAACUAAAAUUGUAUUAUUAUUGGUGUGUGUAUGGUACGUGUGUGCAUGCAUGUAUGUGCGUGUGUGCUUGCCACCAUGCGCAUGUUGAAAUCGGACGGCAACUUCGGGCAGUUGACUCUCUCCUUCCACAGGGGAUUCUGGGGACCAUACUCACAGGGCCUGCACAGUAGCACCUUUACACACAGAGUCAUCUCACCAGCACUGCAAUUUCUAAAACCAUGUUUGUUUUCCUGUUUUUGUUAGUUUAAGCGCGAGGACCAAUACUAGAGACUUAGUAUGCACAUCUCUUACUGUGUACCUCAGGUUCAGAGUCUUUCCCCUGCCUAAAUAGCAGUGCACUGAGAAGGACACAUCUCAACGUAAUUCUCUGAUAACAUGAUGGCAGUUCCCCAUUGCGAACCUCCCAAACAGCCCCGAUGUUUCCAACUGUAAGCCGCAUCUAACUUGCCUUUUCUGUUUAAACACUUGAGAAUACUUCCUGUAGUCAGAAAGCAUUUCUGUCACUUAUAACUGUGUUCCAGAUGUGGCUUCCCAAGGUUGCUCGGCCUGUGGCUCAGCAGGUAGAACCCGCUAGCCAUAUCCAAGGCCCUGGGUUCCAUCCCCAGCUCUGGGUUAAAAAACAAAACCCAUUUUAAAGCCAAAUGUGGCUUCCUCUUUCCAUGUAGAACUGCAGUACAUGCAGCACGUCUUUCUGGGGCUUCCCCCUCUCAGGGAUUGGCUACUUUGAUUAUGUCUGUAUGCAUUUCUCUAAGUUAGCAACAUAUACUUUAAUGUGUUGGGACAUUACCAUUCAGUUUUUUUUUUUCUCAUAAAUAUCCAGAGGAGAGGAAAAAAAAAAAAAAAAAAAAAAAGGCCUGGCACCUGAGCAGUAUGAUGGUAACAAGAGAUUUGACAGUGAACGUGGGCGCCCUGGCCUAUUGCUGCUUAUCUUGAGGUCUACCAUAACUCUUAACUCUUCUCCAGGAUUUUUUGAAUGAAAUCUCUUUUAACUUGUGGAAUCUUCUAACUAUUGGCUUU
rnacentral:lncRNA from 1 species